rnacentral:rRNA from 1 species
GACGAACGCUGGCGGCGUGCCUAAUACAUGCAAGUUGAGCGAUGAAGCUUGGUGCUUGCUCCAAUUUGGAGAGCAGCGGACGGGUGAGUAACGCGUGGGUAAUCUACCUUUAAGCGGGGGACAACAUUGGGAAACGAAUGCUAAUACCGCAUAACAUCUUUAAACAUAAGUUUUAAGUUUGAAAGAUGCAAUUGCUUCACCCAAAAAUGAUACCCCGUCUAAUUAGCUAGUUGGGAAGGGAAAGGCUCACCAAGGCGAGGAUCGAUAGCCGACCUGAAGGGGGAAUCGGCAACAUUGGAACUGAGACACGCUCAAAACCCCUACGGGAGGAGGCAGAGGGGAAUUUUGGGAAUGGGGGGAAGGCCGGACGAGGCACGGCGCGUGAGGGGAGAAAGGUCUCCGGUUCGUAAACUCUGUUUGUAGAGAAGAAAGUUGGGGAGAAGGGAAAGCUCAUCAAGUGACGGUAACUACUCAGAAAGGGACGGCUAACUACGUG